AGUGAACGCUGGCGGUAGGCCUAACACAUGCAAGUCGAACGGCAGCACAGUAAGAGCUUGCUCUUACGGGUGGCGAGUGGCGGACGGGUGAGGAAUACAUCGGAAUCUACUUUUUCGUGGGGGAUAACGUAGGGAAACUUACGCUAAUACCGCAUACGACCUACGGGUGAAAGCAGGGGAUCUUCGGACCUUGCGCGAUUGAAUGAGCCGAUGUCGGAUUAGCUAGUUGGCGGGGUAAAGGCCCACCAAGGCGACGAUCCGUAGCUGGUCUGAGAGGAUGAUCAGCCACACUGGAACUGAGACACGGUCCAGACUCCUACGGGAGGCAGCAGUGGGGAAUAUUGGACAAUGGGCGCAAGCCUGAUCCAGCCAUACCGCGUGGGUGAAGAAGGCCUUCGGGUUGUAAAGCCCUUUUGUUGGGAGAGAAAAGCAGCAGGUUAAUACCCCGCUGUUCUGACGGUACCCAAAGAAUAAGCACCGGCUAACCUCGUG
rnacentral:rRNA from 1 species